rnacentral:tmRNA from 1 species
GGGGACGACCUGGCUUCGACGUCGGUUACAAACCCUGAGGUGCAUGUCGAGCAUGUAGCUAACCUCGUAAAUCUUGCUGCAAACAUAUAGUUGCAAACGACAACAACUACGCAAUCGCCGCUUAAUAACCGGUAGGUUGCUGUCGGACUGGAUACGUGUCUAUGCGUCCAGGUUCAUUCGUGAACAUCCGGCAUCGCUCUCAUAGAAUCGUGAUGGACGCUCGUUCGGGGCCGAAGCACUAAACAAGUACCGAAAUCGCUGUUUGUUUUCUUGGUCUGACGGGUAGCAGACAGCUAAACUAAAGUUCAGAAUAAACAUGUAGAGCCGAUGGCAGAGGACUGGCGGACGGGGGUUCGAUUCCCCCCGUCUCCACCA